rnacentral:rRNA from 1 species
UACAGAGGGUGCAAGCGUUAAUCGGAGUUACUGGGCGUAAAGGGCGCGUAGGCGGUACUAUAAGUGAGAUGUGAAAUCCCUGGGCUUAACCUAGGAACGGCAACUCAUACUGUAGAACUAGAGUAUUGUAGAGGGUAGUGGAAUUUCCGGUGUAGCGGUGAAAUGCGUAGAGAUCGGAAGGAACACCAGUGGCGAAGGCGGCUACCUGGACAAAUACUGACGCUGAAGCGCGAGAGCGUGGGGAGCAAACAGG